UACGUAGGGUGCUAGCGUUGUUCGGAAUCAUUGGGCGUAAAGCGCGUGUAGGUGGUUAUCUAAGUCAGAUGUGAAAUCCCUAGGCUCAACCAAGGAAGUGCAUUUUGAAACUAGUUAACUAGAAAGAUGGUAGAGGAAGGUGGAAUUCCAGGUGUAGAGGUGAAAAUUCGUAGAUAUCUGGAGGAAUACCGGUGGCGAAGGCGGCCUUCUGGACCAUCCUUGACACUAAGACGCGAAAGCGUGGGUAGCAAACAGG
rnacentral:rRNA from 1 species